rnacentral:lncRNA from 1 species
AAAGGGACAAGGGCAGGUGUGUCAGUCAGGGUCCUGUGGCAGGAAGAAGUACACCUGGAUGCAACUUGGAAGCGAAUUGGACAAAGGGAUGAUUUCAUAGAGGCAAGGGCAGGAAGGGGAACUGCCAGGACUCCGGGGGCGACCGGGACUAGCUGCGGUGGGCAGUCUCCGCCACCACUUAGGCCUCUCGGGAGCUGGAGUCAUGAAGGAGGGACUCCCCGGGGUUGGGGGCUGAGGUCCUGGAGGGGUGCAGCCGUUACUGGCGCGUGGAGGGAUGGGUCUAGCUCUCCAUCUCCCGCCAGCGCCAGACCCAACUGGAACUCAGAGAACAACGGAGCCCAGGUAGCCACCGAUCCUACCAGCAGGACCUGUGUUGUGGGAAUGAAAGAGCUGAGUGGAGGGGCGCCUGGGUGGCGCAGUCGGUUAAGUGUCCGACUUCAGCCAGGUCACGAUCUCGCGGUCCGGGAGUUCGAGCCCCGCGUCGGGCUCUGGGCUGAUGGCUCAGAGCCUGGAGCCUGUUUCCGAUUCUGUGUCUCCCUCUCUCUCUGCCCCUCCCCCGUUCAUGCUCUGUCUCUCUCUGUCCCAAAAAUAAAUAAAAACGUUGAAAAAAAAAAUUAAAAAAAAAAAAACGCAACUCUGGGCAUGUGUCUCCCUUGCUUAAAACGUUCCAUUUACUUCAGGGUCCAAACCAGAUUCCCCAACAGAGCCCCAGAGGGUGCCAAGUGAUGAGUCUCCAUGCCAUCCCCUC